ACUUUUUAGACUUUUUAAUGUAAAUACAUAUAUUGUUUUCAAUAAAAUCUACCAAAAUCAAAUAAUACAGAUUUUUUUCAACUUUACAUGUUGAAAAUUGGCUUCUAAAUAUUAUUGUAUAUAGUUCUGUAUAUCAUCAAUACACUCCCCACUAAAGAAAUGUUUUGUCACCCCCACCCCAACCCCAACAUUCUAAUACUUUCAAUUAUGCUUCAUAAAUUUUCUUAACCUUUGUUCCCUUUCAGAACCCUCCCUGCACCAGGAAUUUCAAAUCCCUUCUGUGGCACAAAUAUGGACAUUACUGGAACAACACACUACACAAUUCCACAUAGUAUCCAUUGUCACCUUAACCCCAGGGAAGGCCGUUGAAAAGUCAUAAAGGAAUAGGCUCUCCAAACAACUAUGUUAAACUGGAAAGAUUUACAAAAUGCAUAAGCUCAGCUCUGCCAAACACUAAAGAAUAAAAAUGUAUCAUCUUUUAUUCACAAAUUCCCUGCAAGAAUAUAAACCAUGACUAUCCAAAAUUGUAGCAUUAAAGCUCACAAAUUUACUCAUAUCAACAUUAACUUUAUUUUAGAAAAACAGUACAGACACCAAAAACGUGAUGCUCCAAGGCACAUGUCAAAACCUUAUUACAUCUCACACAAGGUGUUACGAAGUAAUUAAACAUUAAAACACUAACUAGUUACCAAUAAAAUAAUUCAACAACCAUGAAGUAGCUUUAAGCUCAAGUCCAAUAUUUUCCAUGAGUACAUCUUGUAAAAA